rnacentral:rRNA from 1 species
CUACGUGCCAGCAGCCGCGGUAAUACGUAGGUCCCGAGCGUUGUCCGGAUUUAUUGGGCGUAAAGCGAGCGCAGGCGGUUUGAUAAGUCUGAAGUUAAAGGCUGUGGCUCAACCAUAGUUCGCUUUGGAAACUGUCAAACUUGAGUGCAGAAGGGGAGAGUGGAAUUCCAUGUGUAGCGGUGAAAUGCGUAGAUAUAUGGAGGAACACCGGUGGCGAAAGCGGCUCUCUGGUCUGUAACUGACGCUGAGGCUCGAAAGCGUGGGGAGCGAACAGGAUUAGAUACCCUGGUAGUCCACGCCGUAAACGAUGAGUGCUAGGUGUUGGAUCCUUUCCGGGAUUCAGUGCCGCAGCUAACGCAUUAAGCACUCCGCCUGGGGAGUACGACCGCAAGGUUGAAACUCAAAGGAAUUGACGGGGGCCCGCACAAGCGGUGGAGCAUGUGGUUUAAUUCGAAGCAACGCGAAGAACCUUACCAGGUCUUGACAUCCCGAUGCUAUUUCUAGAGAUAGAAAGUUACUUCG